rnacentral:tRNA from 1 species
GGUGGCUUAAGCACUUGGCUGCUAACCAAAAGUUAAGUGGUUCGAACCCACUAGCCAUUC